rnacentral:rRNA from 1 species
GUGGAAGUGCGGCGUGCUUACACAUGCAGUCGAACGGUGAAGGAAAGCUUGCUUUCUGGAUCAGUGGCGAACGGGUGAGUAACACGUGAGCAAUCUGCCCCUGACUCUGGGAUAACAGUUGGAAACAGCUGCUAAUACCGGAUAUGAGCUGCGACCGCAUGGUCGGCAGUUGGAAAGAAUUUCGGUCAGGGAUGAGCUCGCGGCCUAUCAGCUUGUUGGUGAGGUAAUGGCUCACCAAGGCGUCGACGGGUAGCCGGCCUGAGAGGGUGACCGGCCACACUGGGACUGAGACACGGCCCAGACUCCUACGGGAGGCAGCAGUGGGGAAUAUUGCACAAUGGGCGCAAGCCUGAUGCAGCAACGCCGCGUGAGGGACGACGGCCUUCGGGUUGUAAACCUCUUUUAGCAGGGAAGAAGCGAAAGUGACGGUACCUGCAGAAAAAGCACCGGCUAACUACGUGCCAGCAGCCGCGGUAAUACGUAGGGUGCAAGCGUUAUCCGGAAUUAUUGGGCGUAAAGAGCUCGUAGGCGGUUUGUCGCGUCUGCUGUGAAACCCCGAGGCUCAACCUCGGGCCUGCAGUGGGUACGGGCAGACUAGAGUGCGGUAGGGGAGAUUGGAAUUCCUGGUGUAGCGGUGGAAUGCGCAGAUAUCAGGAGGAACACCGAUGGCGAAGGCAGAUCUCUGGGCCGUAACUGACGCUGAGGAGCGAAAGGGUGGGGAGCAAACAGGCUUAGAUACCCUGGUAGUCCACCCCGUAAACGUUGGGAACUAGUUUGUGGGGGGCCAUUCCACGUCUCCGUGACGCAACUAAACCAUUAAGUUCCCCGCCUGGGGAUACGGCCGCAAGGCUAAAACUCAAGGAAUUGACGGGGACCCGCACAAACGGCGGGACCAUGCGGAAUUAAUUCGAUACAAGCCCGAAGAACCUCACCAAGGCUUGACAUAGUACGAGGGCGCGG